UUGAGCCCCAGUGCCUGCAUCAAAACAACAAGGAAGGAAAAACUAGUGGAGGCAUUCGCUUAGUGGUGGUUGGUCCUAGGCUGGGCCUGUAAGUGUGGCAAGCCCAUCUAGAAAUUGCUCACUUUUAGGGAACUAAGGAGCUAUGUUGUCUGUCCUCUAGUAGCCUCUGGUACCGAUGGAGUACUGACCAACAUCCACUCCGUGUGUGUGUGUGUGUGUGUGUGUGUGUGUGUGUGUGUAGAAAAAGCCAUGAGAGUUGGGUGAGUCAGAUUUAACCACUGUUGUUUUUUUUUUCCCUUUUUGAAACUUGUUAUGCAGCAAUCAAGUGCUUGCUCAGAAAUGUGUGAAAACCACUUAAAAUGUGCAAAACGCCACCCUUUUCAAAGGCGAUAGGCCACUUUCUCUGGAGCCAUGGCGGCCGGCUGCGUGGGGCCGGCCGUGAGCAGAGAGUCCACAGGUGAAUUCUGUGCUCUGCUUGGUUAGGAACGGGAAGCCCUGGUGUGGGCUGAUACUGGGGCUUGAACUCAGGGCCCCAGGUGCUCUCACUUAGCCUUUUCACUCAAGGCUGGUAUUCUACCACUUAAAUCACAGCUUCAC